rnacentral:rRNA from 1 species
GACGUAGGAUGCGAGCGUUGUCCGGAUUUAUUGGGCGUAAAGAGUUCGUAGGUGGUUCAUUAAGUUUGGUGUUAAAGACCGGGGCUCAACCUCGGGACCGCACCGGAUACUGGUGGACUAGAGUGCAGUAGAGGCAAGCGGAAUUCCAGGUGUAGCGGUGAAAUGCGUAGAUAUCUGGAAGAACACCGGUGGCGCAAGCGGCUUGCUGGGCUGUAACUGACACUGAGGAACGAAAGCUAGGGUAGCGAAUGGG